UAGGGAAUAUUGCGCAAUGGGGGAAACCCUGACGCAGCAAUGCCGCGUGAGUGAGGAAGGCCUUCGGGUUGUAAAGCUCUGUCCUUAGGGAAAAAUGUCCAUAGUGUUAAUAGCAUUAUGGAGUGAUGGUACCUGAGAAGAAAGCACCGGCUAACUUCGUGCCAGCAGCCGCGGUAAUACGAAGGGUGCAAGCGUUGUUCGGAUUUAUUGGGCGUAAAGCGUACGUAGGUGGGUGGUCAAGUCUGCUGU
rnacentral:rRNA from 1 species